rnacentral:rRNA from 1 species
UACGUAGGGUGCAAGCGUUGUCCGGAAUUAUUGGGCGUAAAGAGCUCGUAGGCGGUUCGUUAAGUCAGCUGUGAAAGCCCCGGGCUCAACCUGGGAAUUGCGGUUGAAACUGGCGAACUAGAAUCUGGCAGAGGGGGGUGGAAUUCCACGUGUAGCAGGUGAAAUGCGUAGAGAUGUGGAGGAACACCGAUGGGCGAAGGCAGCCCCCCUGGGCUAAGAUUGACGCUCAGGCACGAAAGCGUGGGGAGCAAACAGG